GAUGAACGCUGGCGGCGUGCCUAAUACAUGCAAGUCGAGCGAACAGACGAGGAGCUUGCUCCUCUGACGUUAGCGGCGGACGGGUGAGUAACACGUGGAUAACCUACCUAUAAGACUGGGAUAACUUCGGGAAACCGGAGCUAAUACCGGAUAAUAUAUUGAACCGCAUGGUUCAAUAGUGAAAGACGGUUUUGCUGUCACUUAUAGAUGGAUCCGCGCCGCAUUAGCUAGUUGGUAAGGUAACGGCUUACCAAGGCAACGAUGCGUAGCCGACCUGAGAGGGUGAUCGGCCACACUGGAACUGAGACACGGUCCAGACUCCUACGGGAGGCAGCAGUAGGGAAUCUUCCGCAAUGGGCGAAAGCCUGACGGAGCAACGCCGCGUGAGUGAUGAAGGUCUUCGGAUCGUAAAACUCUGUUAUUAGGGAAGAACAAAUGUGGAAGUAACUAUGGACGUCUUGACGGUACCUAAUCAGAAAGCCACGGCUAACUACGUG
rnacentral:rRNA from 1 species